rnacentral:rRNA from 1 species
UAAAGCUCUGUGGGGGGAGAAGAAGAAAGUCGGUGAAGAGCCGACCCUGACGGUAUCCCCUUAGCAAGCACCGGCUAACUCCGUGCCAGCAGCCGCGGUAAUACGGAGGGUGCAAAACGUUGCUCGGAAUCAUUGGGCGUAAAGCGCGCGUAGGCGGCUGAACAAGUUGGAUGUGAAAGCCCUGGGCUCAACCUAGGAUGUGCAUUCAAAACUGUUCGGCUUGAGUCUCGGAGGGGGUCAGAGAAUUCUCGGUGUAGAGGUGAAAUUCGUAGAUAUCGGGAGGAACACCAGUGGCGAAGGCGCUGACCUGGACGAUGACUGACGCUGAGGCGCGAAAGCGUGGGGAGCAAAACAGGAUUAGAUACCCUGGUAGUCCACGCCGUAAACGAUGAGUGCUAGACGCUGGCGGAUUGACCCCGUCGGUGUCGAAGCUAACGCGUUAAGCACUCCGCCUGGGGAGUACGGUCGCAAGACUAAAACUCAAAGGAAUUGACGGGGG